rnacentral:tRNA from 1 species
GGAGAUGUAGCUCAGUGGCAGAGCACUUGUCUGACUAACAUGAGUGAGACCCUGAGUUCCAUUCCCA